CCUAUACACCGUCCUACUUUUUUUUUCUAUCUCACAGUAAGUUAACUGGCUUUUUAAAGACCCAUAUGGAUUUAACCGUUUAAUCUGUAAACAUGACUGACCAUCACUUGUACAUUGUUAAAUGAUCAUUAGAGCCAGGAGUACCCAAAAGGUAGAUCCCCAGAUGUUUUAAAAUUACAGCUUCCAUAAAGCUUUCCAGCACAAAAAUUCUAUGACCCAAGUUUGCAGUGAAUUAUGAGAGGUCGAGGUCAUCUAUGCUUGUGUAAUCUCCUCUAUACCAGUGAUUCCCAACCCAUUCCUCAAGACAUACAACAUUCCAUGGUUUGUUUUGUCCCAAUUCCAGCCCAAUGAGGAUGCCUACAAAACCUGACCACUGGUGUGCUGUGAGGAAUGGGUUGGUGGCCUCUAUGCUUGGAUACAAUGCAAACACUAUUGUGAUAUUUAUCACUUUUUCUUACAAAGCACAUUGAGGAACAUUAGGUAUUCAAUUUGCCAGGGACUGGCAUCUAUAUCACUUUAAGUCAAUUGUGCGGACUGGCACCUUUGGAUUCUUAAGUGGAAAUGGGG